rnacentral:rRNA from 1 species
UUUUUUUUUUUUUUAAUCCGCAGACGAACGCUGGCGGCGUGCCUAAUACAUGCAAGUCGAACGCUUCUUUUUCCACCGGAGCUUGCUCCACCGGAAAAAGAGGAGUGGCGAACGGGUGAGUAACACGUGGGUAACCUGCCCAUCAGAAGGGGAUAACACUUGGAAACAGGUGCUAAUACCGUAUAACAAUCGAAACCGCAUGGUUUUGAUUUGAAAGGCGCUUUCGGGUGUCGCUGAUGGAUGGACCCGCGGUGCAUUAGCUAGUUGGUGAGGUAACGGCUCACCAAGGCCACGAUGCAUAGCCGACCUGAGAGGGUGAUCGGCCACAUUGGGACUGAGACACGGCCCAAACUCCUACGGGAGGCAGCAGUAGGGAAUCUUCGGCAAUGGACGAAAGUCUGACCGAGCAACGCCGCGUGAGUGAAGAAGGUUUUCGGAUCGUAAAACUCUGUUGUUAGAGAAGAACAAGGAUGAGAGUAACUGUUCAUCCCUUGACGGUAUCUAACCAGAAAGCCACGGCUAACUACGUGCCAGCAGCCGCGGUAAUACGUAGGUGGCAAGCGUUGUCCGGAUUUAUUGGGCGUAAAGCGAGCGCAGGCGGUUUCUUAAGUCUGAUGUGAAAGCCCCCGGCUCAACCGGGGAGGGUCAUUGGAAACUGGGAGACUUGAGUGCAGAAGAGGAGAGUGGAAUUCCAUGUGUAGCGGUGAAAUGCGUAGAUAUAUGGAGGAACACCAGUGGCGAAGGCGGCUCUCUGGUCUGUAACUGACGCUGAGGCUCGAAAGCGUGGGGAGCAAACAGGAUUAGAUACCCUGGUAGUCCACGCCGUAAACGAUGAGUGCUAAGUGUUGGAGGGUUUCCGCCCUUCAGUGCUGCAGCUAACGCAUAAGCACUCC